UACGGAGGGGGCUAGCGUUGUUCGGAAUUACUGGCGUAAAGCGCACGUAGGCGGCUUUGCAAGUCAGAGGUGAAAGCCCGGGGCUCAACCCCGGAAUGUCCUUUGAGACUGCAUCGCUAGAAUUGUGGAGAGGUAAGUGGAAUUCCGAGUGUAGAGGUGAAAUUCGUAGAUAUUCGGAAGAACACCAGUGGCGAAGGCGACUUACUGGACACAUAUUGACGCUGAGGUGCGAAAGCGUGGGGAGCAAACAGG
rnacentral:rRNA from 1 species